rnacentral:misc_RNA from 1 species
UAAUAAGUGUUUUAUGGCACUUUUUAAAUCCAUAUCCACCUUGUGUGCAAUGUCGGUCGAUCUUCCAAGAAGAAAGAUCGGCCAAACAUCAACUUAUUUUUUUAACUCUUUGUCUGAAAAAUAUUAUGAAUAAACAAUUCAAAAUA